rnacentral:rRNA from 1 species
UACGGAGGGGACUAGCGUUGUUCGGAAUUACUGGGCGUAAAGCGCACGUAGGCGGAUUUGUAAGUCAGGGGUGAAAUCCCGGGGCUCAACCUCGGAACUGCCUUUGAUACUGCAAAUCUCGAGUCCGGAAGAGGUGAGUGGAACUGCGAGUGUAGAGGUGAAAUUCGUAGAUAUUCGCAAGAACACCAGUGGCGAAGGCGGCUCACUGGCCCGAUACUGACGCUGAGGUGCGAAAGCGUGGGGAGCAAACAGG